rnacentral:lncRNA from 1 species
AUCAACAAAGUUGCUUCCAUCAUCUUUCAACUCUAGGAACACAUUAAAAUUCAGGGGAGCCAUUGAUCUACAACAUAAAUUUGCAAAGAUUACUUAGACUAUUGUUCAACAUAAUGAGUUUACUUAAUCAUAUUACUAAGAACUCCCACAAAAAUUGACAUCUGUCUAGUCAUUCAAGUGACACAUGAUCCAAAUCCACCAUCCCAUUACCGAUCAUCACGUGACUUGAGGUGACUUCAAUGGUGAACAUCUCCAUGUUGAUCAUAUCAACUAUAUGACUCAUGUUCGACCUUUCAGUAUUUUGUGUUCUGAGGCCAUGUUUGUACAUGCUAGUCUCGUCAAGUUUAACCCUGAGUGUUCCGUGUGUGAAAAACUAUCUUGCACCCGUUGUUUGUGAAUGUGGAGUCUACCACAUCCGAUCAUCACGUGGUGUCUCAAAACGACAAACUUCCGCAACAGUGCACACUCGGGGAGAACACAAUUUUAUCUUGAAAUUAAGUGAUGGAUCACCUUUCGUCCUAAGCAAAACAAGGUGCAUAAAAAGGAUUAACACCACAUGCAAAUCAUAAGUGACAUGAAAUGUCCAUGAACUUGUGCUUUUGAUCUCCAUCUCUGAAGCACCCGCAUGAUCUCCAUCGUCACCGACACCACACCAUGAUCUCCAUCAUCAUGAUAUCCAUCACCGUGCUGCCAUCGAGGUUGUCGCGCCAACCAUGCUUGUACUACUAUUGCGACCGUUUAGCGAUAAAGUAAAGCAUCACUUAACGCUUAAUGAGUGACACACAGGUCAUACAAAAAUUAAAGACAACCCUAUGGUUCCUGUCGGUUGCCAUAGCAUCGACAUGCAAGUCGAUAUUAACUAUUACAACAUGAUCAUCUCAUACAUGAAAUAUAUCACAUCAUGUCAUUGGUCAUAUCACAUCACAUGCAUACCCUACAAAAACAAGUUAGAC